AACGCUGGCGGCGUGCUUAACACAUGCAAGUCGAACGGAACACCCUUGACAGAGGUUUCGGCCGAAUGAAGAGGAAUGUUUAGUGGCGGACUGGUGAGUAACGCGUGAGGAACCUGCCUUUCAGAGGGGGACAACAGUUGGAAACGACUGCUAAUACCGCAUGAAGCAGCGAGGGGACAUCCCCUUGCUGUCAAAGAUUUAUCGCUGAAAAGAUGGCCUCGCGUCUGAUUAGCUAGUUGGUGGGGUAACGGCCCACCAAGGCGACGAUCAGUAGCCGGACUGAGAGGUUGACCGGCCACAUUGGGACUGAGAUACGGCCCAGACUCCUACGGGAGGCAGCAGUGGGGAAUAUUGGGCAAUGGACGCAAGUCCUGACCCAGCAACGCCGCGUGAAGGAAGAAGGCUUUCGGGUUGUAAACUUCUUUUAACAGGGAAGAGAAGAAGACGGUACCUGUUGAAUAAGCCACGGCUAACUACGUGCCAGCAGCAGC
rnacentral:rRNA from 1 species